rnacentral:rRNA from 1 species
AGGAAAAGAAACCAACAGGGAUUGCCCUAGUAACGGCGAGUGAAGCGGCAACAGCUCAAAUUUGAAAGCUGGCCUUCGGGUCCGCAUUGUAAUUUGUAGAGGAUGCUUUGGGUGAAACGCCAGUCUAAGUUCCUUGGAACAGGACGUCAUAGAGGGUGAGAAUCCCGUAUGUGACUGGAAAUGUUAACCUAUGUAAAGCUCCUUCGACGAGUCGAGUUGUUUGGGAAUGCAGCUCUAAAUGGGAGGUAAAUUUCUUCUAAAGCUAAAUAUUGGCGAGAGACCGAUAGCGCACAAGUAGAGUGAUCGAAAGAUGAAAAGCACUUUGGAAAGAGAGUUAAAAAGCACGUGAAAUUGUUGAAAGGGAAGCGCUUGCAAUCAGACUUGUUUAAACUGUUCGGCCGGUCUUCUGACCGGUUUACUCAGUUUGGACAGGCCAGCAUCAGUUUCGGCGGCCGGAUAAAGGCUUUGGGAAUGUGGCCUUCACUUCGGUGAAGGUGUUAUAGCCCAGGGUGUAAUACGGCCAGCCGGGACUGAGGUCCGCGCUUCGGCUAGGAUGCUGGCGUAAUGGUUGUAAGCGACCCGU